UACGUAGGGGGCAAGCGUUGUCCGGAAUCAUUGGGCGUAAAGAGCGUGUAGGCGGCUCGGUAAGUCCGCUCUGAAAGCCCGGGGCUCAACCCCGGGAGGCGGGCGGAUACUGUCGGGCUAGAGUCCGGAAGAGGCGAGUGGAAUUCCUGGUGUAGCGGUGAAAUGCGUAGAUAUCCGAAAGAACACCGGAGGCGAAGGCGGCUUGCUGGGCGUGAUCUGACGCUGAGGCGCGAAAGCGUGGGGAGCGAACAGG
rnacentral:rRNA from 1 species